AUACUGGCGUAGGGGAUACCGUGAUCAUGAAGGCGGUUCCCCCAGAGCGAGGCCUAUCCAUUGCACUGCGGAUGGGUUGACCUCUGCGAUUAUCCCUAAUGCGGAUAACUCGGACGCGUAAUUUUUGGUCUCUAGUCUUGGAAGACUCGGACCAC